CUUGGUGGUUUUGUUUCUACAGGUUUGGCUGGAGCCCACCAAGCUCAUAGUGAAACAAGUGAGACGGCCAAUGAACACACUCUUUCGGCUGUCGGUGAAGUUCUUUCCUCCAGAUCCUGGUCAGCUUCAGGAGGAGUUUACUAGGUACUUGUUUUCUCUGCAAAUCAAGAGGGAUCUAAUGGAGUGCCGACUGAACUGUACGGAAAACACUGCCGCCCUGCUGGCCUCUCAUUUGG